CGUCUAUAUACGUAUAGCAUAUCAAUAAGCGGAGGAAAAGAAACUAACUAGGAUUCCCCUUAGUAACGGCGAGUGAAGCGGGAAGAGCUCAAAUUUGAAAUCUUCAAGGGUUCUACCUUUACGAAUUGUAGUUUAAAGAAGUGUUUUCUGUUGGAGUUUCGGUAAAAGUUCUUUGGAAUAGGACAUCAUAGAGGGUGAGAAUCCCGUAUUUGACCAGUUACUUUCCAGCUUUGUGAUACACUUUCAAAGAGUCGGAUUGUUUGGGAAUGCAGUCCAAAAUGGGUGGUAAAUUUCAUCUAAAGCUAAAUAUUGGCGAGAGACCGAUAGCGAACAAGUACCGUGAGGGAAAGAUGAAAAGAACUUUGAAAAGAGAGUUAAACAGUACGUGAAAUUGUCAAAAGGGAAGCGUUUGACACCAGUGUUGUUUCCGUCGAAAAUCAAUUAAAUAAUUGACCUGAUUUUGUAGUUAGUAUUGACUUUAUCAGCUUGCUGCCUUUUCUUUUCAUAAUUAUUUAAUGCACUUUUCAGUUAACAAGUCAACAUCAAUUUCUUUUGUUGUAAAAGGGUCAGAUGGAAGGUGGCUUGCGAUUCGGUGAAAGUGUUUAUAGCCUUUUACUUCUGCAAUCGGAGAGAUUGAGGUACUGCAGCGUAGACUCCUUUCGGGGUUAGAUACAUUUGUGCUAAGUUAUAGUUUUUCAUAGACAACAUGUUGACUAUGAUUAGUCAUGUAGCUUACCCGCAGUAUGCUAUUUUACCUACGCUUAGGAUGUUGACACACGCGCGUGCUCG
rnacentral:rRNA from 1 species